rnacentral:tRNA from 2 species
UGCGGGGUAGAGCAGUUGGUAGCUCGUCGGGCUCAUAACCCGGAGGUCGCAGGUUCAAGUCCUGUCCCCGCUA